rnacentral:rRNA from 1 species
UACGGAGGGAGCUAGCGUUGUUCGGAAUUCCUGGGCGUAAAGCGCGCGUAGGCGGCUUUGUAAGUUAGAGGUGAAAGCCCGGGGCUCAACCCCGGAACUGCCUUUAAGACUGCAUCGCUGGAAUCCGGGAGAGGUGAGUGGAAUUCCGAGUGUAGAGGUGAAAUUCGUAGAUAUUCGGAAGAACACCAGUGGCGAAGGCGGCUCACUGGACCGGUAUUGACGCUGAUGUGCGAAAGCGUGGGGAGCAAACAGG